AGGUCUGUCUGAGGAAAUAGUCUGACAAAUACUACCAACCACCUAAGAAGGCACUGAGACCAGUCAAUAACAACAGCAACACUUAUCAAAAAAAGCCUCCAUAAGGAUGAACGCAGCCAGCUUGGAGGGGCACUUUGGAUGCAAGACUGUGCUAAAGGAAGGAUAAAUGCAGCGACUCCAUCGCUGAGCACAAAAGAGGUUUGUCUGGCUUUGUGCUUCAGGGAAUAUCCUGUUACGCUUCAGCCCUUCCUCCUGGCCUGGGAUCCAGCCUGACCAUCUAGCUGGGUACCGUGAUCCCUGCGUUGAGGAGCUCGAGGUCUCCCUCUGCACUGACCGCGGAGGACACGCAUCUGCUGGUGCCCAGCGCGAGCCUGGCUGCGGACAGCAGGACGUGGGCAUCCAGCCGGCAGCAGAGAGGAGCCCAGCUCCUCUUCCUUAAUUAAGCCGAACUCUGCUUCAGCAAGCUCGGCUCGCCAGCGAGUGUGAAUCAUGGGAAGAGCCCGGGGCCAAGCGGGCGCGAUCUGCUGAACCCUCAGCAACACCGGCUGACGCGUCCUCAGCUGACGGCGGCUGCUGCAGCUCCCGGGCUUUAGCCUGCAUGUCUGCAAGCUGCGGUAAGCUUUCACCCGACCCACCUUUGCCUGAGCUGUCUGGAUAGCAAUCCCGCUCGGGCCAUCUGGAUACGUCCCAGGAGACCGCUGGGUAUCAGUGACACAUGGCAGUAGGUUAAGCGAUCAUCCCCCAGCCUCACCCUCCCCCGAAAAUCAGCCCCAGGCUGCAGCAGGCACUGAAAGAGCAGGAACUGUGGCCGUGUGCUGCACUCUGCUUCAUCUGGUCCCUCUUGCUCCGCGGGCGCGUGACGGCCCAGCCCAGCCAGCUGGCAGCGCGGGUGCUCUCAGAGCCGUGACGCAAAGGCCCGCGCGCAGUGACGCGGUGCCGGCCUCUCCCCUCGCCUUGCAGGGCUGUUGCAUCACCCUGGCAGGCUGCUGGGGAACCGCCUGCGCAGAGCGAACCCCCGCCCAGCCCGGUGCCGCAAGCCGCUCCUGAGAAACGCUGGUGCUGAGCAACUCCGGAGCUGCUUGGGAAGGAGCCGGGCUCUGUCCUGCCCGGGGUUGUGCCCUGCUUCACGCUCAAGGCUGCUCCCGUUGUCACUGUCCUCCCCGCGGUCCUCCCAGUGGGACCGUCACAGGCCUGAACGUGGAGGCAAUGAGACGCAAGGACCAGCGCCAGAGCAGUUUUACCCCAUCAGCCUGCUCCCCCAUGCACCCCCCCCCACCCCGUUUGCCCAUCAGCACCGGCACCCGUCCCACAGCAGAGCUGGGUGGGGAGGAAGGGCCCGGCGGGGUGCUCCCACCUGCAAAUCCUCGCCGGAGGGGUCGGGGCAGGGAGCACGGAGGGGCUGUGCUUGGGCAGGGCUGCCUCGGCCCGUCUGUCCCUCCAGCAUCCCUCCCAGUCCCACCACCCUCCAGCAUCCCUCCCAGUCCCAUCACCCUCCAGCAUCCCUCCCAGUCCCACCACCCUCCAGCAUCCCUCCCAGUCCCAUCGCCCUGCCGCAGCCCGCCCAGACCCACCCUUCCCAGCCCCACUCAUAGACCCCCCACUCACCAAAUCCCUCCUAGACCCAAGCGUCUCCUAGACCCGUCCCUCCACCCCUUCCCUCCCAGCCCCAUCGCCCGGCCGCAUCCUGCCCAGACCCACAUCCCUCCCAGUCCCAUUCCUCCCCACAUCCCUAAACCCACGAUCCCCAAAUCCCUCCAAGGUCCAGCACUCCCUGCAUCCCUCCCGAACCGUUUUGUGAUAGCUUCUGCUCACCACAAACCAGCGCACUGGACCAAGAGGAUGCGAGGUUGUUGCUGUUACUGUCAGCACAGCGUUUCGAAGCCCAGAGCCUGGGUGGGGAUGGUGUGACCUGCGUGACAACCGACCGCGGGCAGGUGGCAACUCAGGCAGCCGGGGAGCAGUGCCCGCAGAGCCACCGGCACCUUGCUCGCAGGCACCCCGGUCCCUGAGCGUACGUGUGACGGGCGCUUGGGAACGUAACCUGCUUGGGAGCAGCCACAGCCCCAACCAUGGUGCGUGUAGCAGGUUUUUGCAUUCACCUGGCAGCGUGCAGACAGAUAAAAGCCACCGUUUGCCUAAGGGGGGCCGUCAAACACGUCCCAGCUCCCUCCAAGGUUAAGUGACUCCUUCAGCACCAGCCGUGCAGACAGUAAAUAAACCCAAGGACAGCGCUCA